GAUGAACGCUGGCGGCGUGCUUAACACAUGCCAGUCGAACGGAAAGGCUCCUGCUUGCAGGGGUACCCGAGUGGCGAACGGGUGAGUAACACGUGGGUGAUCUGCCCUGCACUUCGGGAUAAGCCUGGGAAACUGGGUCUAAUACCGGAUAGGACGAUGGUUAGGAUGCCAUUGUGGAAAGUUUUUUCGGUGUGGGGUGAGCUCGCGGCCUAUCAGCUUGUUGGUGGGGUAAUGGCCUACCAAGGCGUCGACGGGUAGCCGACCUGGGAGGGGGGACAGCCACAAGAGGACUGAGGUACGGCGCAGACUCGUACAGGAGGCAGCAGGGGGGAGUAUUGCACAGUGAGCGCGAGCCUGAUGCGACGACGCCGCGUGGGUGAUGACGGCCUUCGGGUUGUAAACACCUUUCGCUAGGGACGAAGCGCAAGUGACGGUACCUGAAGAAGAAGCACCGGCUAACUACGUG
rnacentral:rRNA from 1 species